AUAAUUACUCCGCCUGCAGCUCCUUCAGGGGCUGCUGCCGGUCCCAAGCCCGUAUAAAGGAGGAGGGUUGA
rnacentral:ribozyme from 2 species